GAUGAAGAACGCAGUGAAAUGCGAUAAGUAAUGUGAAUUGCAGAAUUCAGUGAAUCAUCGAAUCUUUGAACGCACAUUGCGCCCGCCAGCACUCUGGCGGGCAUGCCUGUCCGAGCGUCAUUUCAACCCUCAGGGCCCGCCUAGCGUGACCUGGUGUUGGGGAUCGGCUGCCCCAGCGGCUGCCGGCCCUGAAAUACAGUGGCGGUCUCGUCGCGACCUCCCCUGCGUAGUAGCCAUACCUCGCAGCCGGAUAGCGGCGCGGCCACGCCGUAAAACCCCCCACUUCUCAAGGUUGACCUCGGAUCAGGUAGGAAUACCCGCUGAACUUAAGCAUAUCAAUAAGCGGAGGA
rnacentral:misc_RNA from 1 species